UACGAAGGGGGCUAGCGUUGUUCGGAUUUACUGGGCGUAAAGCGCACGUAGGCGGAUUGGUCAGUUAGGGGUGAAAUCCCAGAGCUCAACUCUGGAACUGCCUUUAAUACUGCCAGUCUCGAGUCCGGAAGAGGUAAGUGGAACUCCUAGUGUAGAGGUGGAAUUCGUAGAUAUUAGGAAGAACACCAGUGGCGAAGGCGGCUUACUGGUCCGGUACUGACGCUGAGGUGCGAAAGCGUGGGGAGCAAACAGG
rnacentral:rRNA from 3 species